UUUUGGGUCGAUGCACAAAUAAUAGCGGACAUUUUGAUAUAAAAGGGUGGCCUUUCUGAUGACAGAUCAUUAUUCAUUUACCUGUCUAAGAUAAUAGAAAUCAAUUUUUCAACAUGCAUGCAAUUAGUACAAUUCUAGCAUUGCUUCUGGUACUGUUCGCAAGCUUCCACAUUCAAUUCACUGCAGGCGAAUGCAUUCCAAUUGGGGGAUCGUGCCAAUGGGAUGGACCAUCUCCAUACUGUUGCCCAGGAGCUGGCGGUAAACAAUUUUGUUUACAACAACCGAACACCCCGCAAAUGAGUGGUGUCUGUCAGUGAAAGUAUGUUGAACAGGUAUGGUCUAAUGUUGGCUCGGAGAACAUACUUAGCGGUUUUGUAAAAACACUCAUUUUUAUAUUAUUUCGACCAAAAAUUGCGAGUGCGUUCAAGAGUCAGUGCCAAUUGACCAUACCUAUUUUAUGCUUGGUGUUUUCAACAUACAGAUCGUAAACCAUUCUACGAACUUUUUCAUUUUUUGUGUCUGUUUUUCGUUGAAUAAAAUUGAAUGAACAAU